CCUCUACUGGUUAAAAGUUACUUAUACUUGAACAAAAUACUCACUUAUCUAUAACUUCCAAUAUCUUCAUGCACGACGAAAAAAACAUUGAAAACCAUUUAUUUGAGUGAAUUUUUCUAAUUCCAAGUACCAUUACUGUGCACAAAAACAUCAGACAGAAACAAAUUUCGAGCUUGGUAACUUGUCAAGAUAAAACUAUUUAACUAUUAUCAAAUCAACAUCCUCACGAAUGACAAAAGAAAUUCGGAAAACUGAUUAUUCGAGUUACCCAAGGACCAUAACUCUGCACAAAAUCAUAAAACCGGAACAAAUUCAAACUUGACAUAUAAAUUGUCAUGAUGAAACAAUGUGUUAUCAUAUCAAUAUCCUCAAUCAUGACGAAAAAUGUUUGGAGAAUUGAAUAUUUGAGUGAAUUUUCCAAGUCCAAGGGCCAUAACUCUGCACAAUAUCCCGACUUUAACAAAAUUAUUUGACCUGUAACCAGUCAUGAUAAAAGAAUAUAGACAGAGUGUAAAUCUAAAGUCCCCUUCGACUUUGUAGGGAACUAAACAAACUGGUAAUAGUUUUAAAACUAUAUCUAAACCAUGAAAAUGAGGUCAAGGACAUCUGGCAAGGAAACUUUGUAACACAAGACCUGGUAUGAUUGCCUGUGAAACAACUCCUAAAGUUUUGCAAAUAGCAAAAUAUUUAAUUAAACUAAAUUAACUUUGACCUAAACUUAACUUACAACUUGGUAUUCAUGAAUAGCUUCCAUUAUGUCUAGACCUUCAUCACUAUUUCUAGAUGUACUCAAUGACAAAGAUGUCUUUAGAAUUUUCAAAACAAUAUGAACUCUCAAAGUUCUUCAGAACAAGAAUUUGAUCCCAGUACACUAUCAUUUUCUAAGUUCAGUGGACCGUGAAAUUGGGGUCAGAACUCUCUAAUUUGGCAUUAAAAUUAGAAAGAUCAUAUCGUAAGAAUAAAAUUGAGAAUGGAAAUGGGGAAUGCGCCAAAGAGACAACAACCCGACCACAGAAAAAAAAACAACAGCAGAAGGUCACCAACAGGUCUUCAAUGUAGAAGAAACAUGUAUACUAAGUUUCAGGUUG
rnacentral:lncRNA from 1 species